AACCGGAUUAGAUACCCUGGUAGUCCACGCCCUAAACGAUGUCUACUAGUUGUCGGGUUUUAAUUAACUUGGUAACGCAGCUAACGCGUGAAGUAGACCGCCUGGGGAGUACGGUCGCAAGAUUAAAACUCAAAGGAAUUGACGGGGACCCGCACAAGCGGUGGAUGAUGUGGAUUAAUUCGAUGCAACGCGAAAAACCUUACCUACCCUUGACAUGUACGGAAGGCCGAAGAGAUUUGGUUGUGCUCGAAAGAGAACCGUAACACAGGUGCUGCAUGGCUGUCGUCAGCUCGUGUCGUGAGAUGUUGGGUUAAGUCCCGCAACGAGCGCAACCCUUGUCAUUAGUUGCUACAUUUAGUUGAGCACUCUAAUGAGACUGUCGGUGACAAACCGGAGGAAGGUGGGGAUGACGUCAAGUCCUCAUGGCCCUUAUGGGUAGGGCUUCACACGUCAUACAAUGGUACAUACAGAGGGCCGCCAACCCGCGAGGGGGAGCUAAUCCCAGAAAGUGUAUCG
rnacentral:rRNA from 1 species